rnacentral:lncRNA from 1 species
AUGGCUGGAUGGUGUAAGGAAAAGAUCUUCUUACUCCUCUCCCUGGUAGUCAAGUUUUCUGACUGCUGGAGAGUAGAUAUUACCAGAAUGCUGGUCCCAGAGAGUAAAAAGGCCAAAGAGUGCCCCUUCUGGCUGCGUACCCACUUAUAUAACCCCUACACAGAAGUCAAUGGGUGUUCCAGGCAGCAGCAAAACAGAUGUGGCUGCUGGGGUGGGGUGGAAGACGAUGACCAGCAUACAGAUUGCUGUGCUUAUGUUCUGCGUCGACAUCUGAUAUGGCUAUUCUUGUCUGUGUUUACAUGUCCCAUUCAUCUGGUUCAACCAGACAGAGUUUUACUAAUAUUAUUGAUGGUUGCCAUAACAACAAGCAUGUGAAUAUACUUUAGCUAAGAAAUUGUGACAAGUAUUUGGUUGAUCACAGUCCGUAAAUUGCAUAGAGGGAUGAUCUCCAGGGGUGAAGGGGGAUGGAAUAGGACAUCACCAGAUGGACACUUGCUUUGAUCUCAUUGAGGAAAUUUACAUAGUGAUUUCUCCUGAAAAAGUUCCUUUCCAGGGGCUUCCUCUGGAAAUUUGGAGCUGUUUGAUCCUUGGAGAAUAGCCAGUAACUCAACCAAAGACUCUUCUUAGACCAUAAAUAGCAUUCUGAGUUUGCAUCCUCCAUUUCCAUCACUCUCCCUCUCCUGAUCUUCUCAGUCUCUUCAGUAUUCAAGAAACUAAUGGAACAAAGUCAAAUACUAGAAAUUGGGUAAUCUUCCUUUGCUUCUUUUAGCUCUGGCUUCUUAGGUGACAUUCCUUUUGAUCACAGAUACUUCCUAAAAAUAUACUGGAUAUUGUGGAGUUGGGGGAGAAAAAGGGGCAAGAUGGUGGAUAUCAAAGACCUGGAAAACAACCUCUGCCAUUGAUGAAUUUGUGGUCAUGCUUGAGAGGCAGGGUGACUGAAGGGGUUCCUGAGGUGUGGGGCUUUUCGCUUUAUAACCAGGAAAGUCCAAGGCAAACCAGGAUGAGUUAGAGACUCUAUGAAGUGAGUCUGAGAAAUUCACUUCACCUACGUAGACCUCAUUUCUCCCAACUCUAAAAAUGAAUUAAAAAUUUUAUUUCCUUUGCCUUAUUCUCAGUAAACCAUAUACAAAAGAAGAAAACAAUACAUGAAAUCCUUUAAAAAAAAAAAAAGAGUACAGAGAUGCCAGCCAUAUCUGAUCCUAGAGUAUUGGCUUCAGAGAGACAGGGAAUUGGGUCUCCUUGGUGAAACACCUUAACAUCCAAGACCUCAAACACUUAGCUUCUCCCUAUGGUGCACCUGAUCUCUUUGAGACAAUGCAGUACUAUUUAAUAAGCUGACUCCCCAAAGGUGUCUAAGUGAUUCCCAGGAUGUAGGUCACACACUGGAAGAAUCGCAUUCAACCAAUGUUGAACAACCAAGCUUAAAACUCCCAACACACAGCUGCAUGUUUAAGAUGAAUAAGACAUCAUUGGUGAAAUAUUUUUAUUACAAGGGGUUACGACUUAAACACAGCAAAAAAGAUAUUGGAUUGAGGUGUUCCAUUUAAUGUAUUGGUUGAGAAGGGAGUGAGAGAGGGUAAGGGGAAGAGACAGAAGAGUCAUCCUAUGGUGAUUUCAUCCCACCAUUCCUCUUCCAGUGAGAUAAGAGCAGUCAUUGGGCUUAAGAUUAUCCAUUAUUCAUUUUCUCUAAAGAAGUAGGAGUGCUAUGAGAAUUACGGAUUAGUGCAGGGGAGGGGUAUACUCAAAGACUCCUGGUCUCCCAAUUUAGAACACAGUUGGGAGAAGGAAGGAGCAGAGCCUUCCCCUCCAGAACAAUAACAGCGGCAACACUAGCCACCCACCUUGGCUCAGCUCAGCCCAUAGAGAAAAAGAUACUCCACCCAAGCCCUGUCAGAGCUUAUUGGCUUUGUGUGAAUGAGGUUGAGGAGAGAGCUAUGAUGCUUUGAGGCUACACAGAUAAUCCAUCACUUUCCUCUCUGUGCCCAGGAAGGCUUGUGACAUGUGUCCCAAGAAAAAGAUACGAUGAAGUCCAAACCCCUGGUACCUGUGAAUGUGACCUUAUCUGGAAAUAAGAUCUUUUCAGAUACAAUCAAGUUAAGAUGAGAUCACACUGAAUUAGAGUGGGCCCUAAUCUAAUGACUAGGGUCCUUAUAAGAAGAUGAAAUUUGAACACAAAGAGACACAAGAACAACAUAUGAUGACAAACACAGAGAUUAGAGUGAUGCAUCUGCAAGCCCAGGAAUGCCAAGAAUUACUGGCAAUCACCAGAAGCUAAGAGAAAGGCGUGGAACAGGCUCUCCCUCAGACGGAACCUCUCUGACACCUUGUUUGUGGAAUUUUGGCCUCCAAAACUGUGAGAUAAUAAAUUUCUGUUAUAUUAAACCA